rnacentral:rRNA from 1 species
GACGAACGCUGGCGGCGUGCUUAACACAUGCAAGUCGAACGCUGAAGCUUGGUGCUUGCACUGGGUGGAUGAGUGGCGAACGGGUGAGUAAUACGUGAGUAACCUGCCCUUGACUCUGGGAUAAGCCUGGGAAACUGGGUCCAAUACUGGAUACGACAUGUCACCGCAUGGUGGUGUGUGGAAAGGGUUUUACUGGUUUUGGAUGGGCUCACGGCCUAUCAGCUUGUUGGUGGGGUAAUGGCUCACCAAGGCGACGACGGGUAGCCGGCCUGAGAGGGUGACCGGCCACACUGGGACUGAGACACGGCCCAGACUCCUACGGGAGGCAGCAGUGGGGAAUAUUGCACAAUGGGCGGAAGCCUGAUGCAGCGACGCCGCGUGAGGGAUGAUGGCCUUCGGGUUGUAAACCUCUUUCAGCACGGAAGAAGCGAAAGUGACGGUACGUGCAGAAGAAGCGCCGGCUAACUACGUG